GGGAGCCACUCGCUGGCCAUCACCUUCCAGCUGCUCCUAGACACGUGAGGGAGACGAUGGACACAGUCUCUGAAGAGUCCGGUGGGAAAGGACCCAAAAUACCCACCGCUGUCCUUUCCUUUCAUCUAUUUCAAAGUAAAGCCAGGGAGAAGUUGCGAGAGUCCGCACCUCAGGCCUGCAGUUUGUUUACCUUCUUCAACUCUGUGAGGAAGCGGGGAGGCUUAGAGAAAAGAGUCUCUGUGUGCAGUUCUGGCUCCUUAGAAGUGUAUAAGAUCAAGAACCAAAACUAUUGGGCGUGGCUUCCAAAUGUAAGAGGGGCAAGGCCCACUGUCUCCUUUCCAUGUCGGGUAAGCAGGAGUCCCUGGCUCAUUUUCUCCUUCUACUGCUCUGUCCUCAGAAGCUGAUGAUCUGAGGUCUUCUUAGAAUUGCUCUAAAUCUCCUUUCAGAGAAUGAAGGUUGCUAUACAUACGUGUCUGAGCAAAAAUAUCCAUGGAGCAAAUCUGAGAUAGAUGUCUGGAGUUCAGGAAAAAAGGUAUCCUAUUUUCUUUUUUAAUUUCAGGGAAAAGAAAAAUUUUUUUAUGUUU
rnacentral:lncRNA from 1 species